rnacentral:rRNA from 1 species
UAUCUAAAAACAUAACUUUUAUUAAAAUUCGUUAUAACAAUUGAUUUUUAUUUGAAUUUU